AAUCAACGCUGGCGGCGUGCCUAACACAUGCAAGUCGCACGAGGAAAGGGGAGCAAUCCCUGAGUAAAGUGGCGUACGGGUGAGUAACACGUGACUAACCUUACCUUUUAGUGGGGAAUAACCUAGGGAAACCUGGGCUAAUACCGCAUAAUACCUACGAGUCAAAGCAGCAAUGCGCUGGAAGGAGGGGGUCGCGGCAGAUUAGUUAGUUGGCGGGGUAAUGGCCCACCAAGACAGUGAUCUGUAUCCGGCCUGAGAGGGCGCACGGACACACUGGAACUGAAACACGGUCCAGACUCCUACGGGAGGCAGCAGUGGGGAAUUUUGCGCAAGUGGGGGAAACCCUGACGCAGGCAACGCCGCGUGGGAGGGAUGAAGUCCCUUGGGACGUAAACUCCUUUUCGAUGGGGAAGAUAAUGACGGUACCCAUAGAAGAA
rnacentral:rRNA from 1 species